rnacentral:rRNA from 1 species
UAAUACGUAGGAGGCAAGCGUUAUCCGGAUUUAUUGGGCGUAAAGCGAGCGUAGGCGGCUUUUCAAGUCGGAUGUAAAAUCUCCCGGCUCAACUGGGAGGGCGCAUUCGAUACUGUUGGGCUAGAGGGCAGCAGAGGAAGAUGGAAUUCCCGGUGUAGUGGUGAAAUGCGUAGAUAUCGGGAGGAACACCAGUGGCGAAGGCGGUCUUCUGGGCUGUUUCUGACGCUGAGGCUCAAAAGCGUGGGGAGCGAACAGGAUUAGAUACCCUGGUAGUCCACGCCCUAAACGAUGGACACUAGAUAUGGGGAGUAUCGACCCUCUCCGUGUCGAAGCUAACGCUUUAAGUGUCCCGCCUGGGGAGUACGGUCGCAAGAUUA